UACCAGCACCCCGAGUGGUCGGGACGUUUAUUGGGCCUAAAGCAUCCGUAGCCGGUUCUGCAAGUCUUCCGUUAAAUCCACCUGCUUAACAGAUGGGCCGCGGAAGAUACUAUAGAGCUAGGAGGCGGGAGAGGCAAGCGGUACUCGAUGGGUAGGGGUAAAAUCCGUUGAUCCAUUGAAGACCACCAGUGGCGAAGGCGGCUUGCCAGAACGCGCUCGACGGUGAGGGAUGAAAGCUGGGGAGCAAACCGG
rnacentral:rRNA from 1 species